CUCCAGUGCGGCACCCUCCCAGCCGCGUUGGUGCUUCAUAGGUGGGGAUAAGGCACUAGGCUUAGUCUAGAAAAUGGUUUAUGCUAUGAAGUGUAAUUUUCUUGGCCGUGUAAACGUUUUCCAUUGACUAGCAAUCUCCAUUGUACUAAAUAUUGGGAAAAACUGAAAACAUUAUUCAUUAAAUAUUUUAUUCCCAAAAAAAUGGAGCCUUACUCUCAACUGCAUUGAAUAUAGAUGGAUGCAUGCUCAAAACUGCCUGGUUUUUAUUCAAUGUAUGCAUGCUCAAAUCUGCCUGCUUUUUAUGCAGGGCAAGCUGGUUAUUUUUUGCAGUAUUGGUAAUUUUCAUGUUGAGAAUAGCUUUGUAUGACUAUGUUUAUUAAGAAACUUUAUCUGUGACAGUGGGUUCCCCAAGAAUCAUGCGGUUCAGUUACAGAUGCUACAUAUUCAUGUGAUAGCCAGUCAAUAUAUGUGAGUGUUGAAGAUGGAAGCGUGUGGGUUCUUACUGCCACAACGCUCCAACCGAGGUCUCGGAUUAGUCCUGAUGCAUAUUUUCCUUCUAAUCUCAGCUCAAGGAUUUAUCCCAUUGUCAUUGCGGCUCAUCCGUCUCAACCUAAUCAGUUUGCACUUGGGCUUACUAAUGGUGGAGUAUAUGUUAUUGAGCCUCCAGAAUCAAAGGGAAACUGGGGUGUGAUACUGCCUCUUGAAAAUGGUGCUGGGCCUAGCUUCAACCUUGCAGCUGAUUUGGAAUGAUUAUGCCAGGCUUUUACCACUGAUUAUGCAUACCUCAUCUCAAUGAGUCCCUUUUUAUUCCAGGGGAAACAGCAAAUAUUUAGGUUUUUUAAGUCUGUUUAAUGCACAGCUAUAACAUUAGGCAGGUUAUUUAAGAUGGGCAAUUCUUCCAUACACAUUAAAGAGGUGGUACGCUAGUGUUAACAUAAUAGAAGAGAUAUAGGAGAGCAGUCAUUACUUAUUAGGGUUGAUGGAGAGAUAUUUCCUCUCAAAUGUAUUAAAAAUAGAUAUGUAAUCUAUCUUAAUUCUACAAUUUUUUUUCAUGUAGUGGAAGGUAUCUGCUUGAUCAUGAACAAUCCUUUGCAAGAUGGAUUUGUUCUCCACUUCAUUCAUUUAUUUCAUUAUCGGAAGUAAUUGAUUAAGCAUCCUCAUUA